rnacentral:lncRNA from 1 species
GAAGGAGUCUACCUAACUAUUGUUGAACGAUUGUUAGGUCGAUUUCGAUCGCCAUUGUACAGUUAAUGGCGUCGCGCAUUGGAAGUAUAUGCGUGUGUGAAUUUCGAUGAGUGUUGCACACCUUGGAGGCCUCGUUGAUAAUCGUAUUGAUAAUAUAGUGGGAAGGCGGGUUGAAGGCGGGGAUUAUCACCGCACGCUUCAUAGGCCAUGGAUACGGGUCAGUUUUGCCGGAAGAGCAAAAGGUUUCCGAGACUCUAUGGCGAAUUGGCGACCAGGCCGGACCCUAUCGGGAACUUCCUGAACGGAGUGAGGGCCUCUAGUUUUAUUCGUCUUUUGCAUAAAAAGCGGAUAAAGAAAAAGAAAGUUUUGUUGCAAUUGCUUGCACCUAAAAGAAACCAAACUUCCUCUAAUUAAGAGUUGUCUCGCAACUAUACGUACUACCAUUUGAGUUUGUUUCCGGGUCAUAGUUGAAAUACAAACUUGAAAGUUCCCAAUUGUGUGUAUUGCCACUUAUUGAAUUCCAUCAGAAAUCAGGUAGUUUUGCAAGAAGCAUGUGCAGGAAAACACAAACUGCAAAACAAGACAUCCCUUAUAGCAGUUAUCUAAGACCAAUUUCGAACCGUGACAAAAGAAUAUAAAUAAGCGAAUAAAUUAAAAAUGCGGAUUAUAAAAAAAAAAAAAAAAAA